CCCGCUGAACUUAAGCAUAUCAAUAAGCGGAGGAAAAGAAACUAACAAGGAUUCCCCUAGUAACGGCGAGUGAAGCGGGAAGAGCUCAAAUUUAAAAUCUGGUUUGCUUUGCAAAUCCGAGUUGUAGUCUGAAGAAACGUUUUCCAUGAAAGCUGAGGCACAAGUCCUUUGGAACAGGGCAUCAUAGAGGGUGAGAAUCCCGUCCAUGGUCUCAAGCCUUUCAUUUUGUGAUACGUUUUCUAAGAGUCAGGUUGUUUGGGAAUGCAGCCUAAAAUGGGUGGUAAAUUUCAUCUAAAGCUAAAUAUUGGCGAGAGACCGAUAGCGAACAAGUACCGUGAGGGAAAGAUGAAAAGAACUUUGAAAAGAGAGUUAAAAAGUACGUGAAAUUGUUGAAAGGGAAGCGCUUGCAAUCAGACUUGCUUGCAGCCGAUCAUCUGGUGUUCUCACCAGUGCACUCGGUUAUGAUCAGGCCAGCAUCAGUUUGGACGGUUGGAUAAAGACCUUGGGAAUGUAGCUUCUUUCGAGGAGUGUUAUAGCCCCUGGUGCAAUGCAAUCAGUCUGGACUGAGGACCGCGCUUCGGCUAGGAUGCUGGCGUAAUGGUUGUAAGCGACCCGUCUUGAAACACGG
rnacentral:rRNA from 1 species